AGGGAAAACAAGAAAAGGACCAGCCUCCCAUUCCAAGGGGACUCGUAGAAAAGGACCUCGACAGCACCGUGCCAGUGAUGAGCAGAGGCUUGGUGCUCAGGAUGAGACCAGCCCUGGAGCCGAUCGUUCCCCCUAUAACAAUGGAUAUAAGGACAGGACCUUCGACACCCUGAGUUUGGACAGCUCUGACAGUGUGGACACUAAUGUCUCAGCAUGCUCUCCAGACAAUAUUUCAAGGUAAAACUUUUCUCCACUGUCCUAUGUUCCAUCUGCCUCUGAAACAAUAAGCCUGGUUAGCAACCUUAGACAGAGAAGAGGAGAAUGCUGGGACAUUUUAAGAAAACCUACCUACUUUUUGCACCACAUCCAGAAUUGCUCCCACCUCAGCUCACUUGGAAUUCUCACUCUCGUGUUUUUGGAGUUUGGGAUUGACUAUUCCAAGCCAUUCUCUGGUUUGGCCUCCUCACUCCUCUCCCUCAUAAACAC